UUUGACGCCCCUCAUCUCUCAUCUCUGCUCUCCCUUCGCAUUUGACGCCUCCAUCUGUUCUCUCUGCCUUGCUCUGCCUUCGUACCAAAAACACUGAUCUGCUACCAAAAACCAGCCUAAACCAAUAUGGAUGAUUAUAAUGGUACUUAUGAGAGUGGCAAUUUUAUGGAACUAUUAAUGGAUGGGGAUUACAGAAAUUAUUGUGAUUAUCAUGAUGCUAGUGAUUAUAAUAAUGCUGACAAUAAUAAUGAUGGUGAUAA